GCUGGGUGUGGUGGUGUGCGCCUGUAAUCCCAGCUACUCAGGAGGCUGAGGCAGGAGAAUCGCUUGUACCCAGGAGGUGGAGGUUGCAGUGAGCCGAGAUCACGCCACUGCACUCCAGCCUGGGCAACAUAGUGAGACUCUAUCUCAA
rnacentral:SRP_RNA from 1 species